GACGAACGCUGGCGGCGUGCUUAACACAUGCAAGUCGAACGGAAAGGCCCUGCUUUUGUGGGGUGCUCGAGUGGCGAACGGGUGAGUAACACGUGAGUAACCUGCCCUUGACUUUGGGAUAACUUCAGGAAACUGGGGCUAAUACCGGAUAGGAGCUCCUGCUGCAUGGUGGGGGUUGGAAAGUUUCGGCGGUUGGGGAUGGACUCGCGGCUUAUCAGCUUGUUGGUGGGGUAGUGGCUUACCAAGGCUUUGACGGGUAGCCGGCCUGAGAGGGUGACCGGCCACAUUGGGACUGGGAUACGGCCCAGACUCAUACGGGAGGCAGGAGUGGAGAAUAUUGCACAAUGGGCGGAAGCCUGAUGCAGCAACGCCGCGUGCGGGAUGACGGCCUUCGGGUUGUAAACCGCUUUCGCCUGUGACGAAGCGUGAGUGACGGUAAUGGGUAAAGAAGCACCGGCUAACUACGU
rnacentral:rRNA from 1 species